AUUGAACGCUGGCGGCAGGCCUAACACAUGCAAGUCGAACGAGUGGCGGACGGGUGAGUAAUGUCUGGGAAACUGCCUGAUGGAGGGGGAUAACUACUGGAAACGGUAGCUAAUCCCGCAUACCAUCGGAUGUGCCCAGAUGGGAUUAGCUAGUAGGUGGGGUAAAGGCUCACCUAGGCGGCGAUCCCUAGCUGGUCUGAGAGGCUGACCAGACAGACUGGAACUGAGACACGGUAUGGACUCAGACGGGAGGCAGAAGUGGGGAGAAUUGCACAAUGGGCGCAGGCCGGAUGCAGCCAUGACGCGUGUAUGGAGAAGGGCUUUGGGUUGUACAGUACUUUGAGCGGGGAGGCGUCUCCCACAGAAGAAGCACAGACUAACUCCGUGCCAGCAGCCGCGGUAAUUC
rnacentral:rRNA from 1 species